GACGAACGCUGCCGUCGUGCUUAACACAUGCAAGUCGAACGGAAAGGCCCUGCUUUUGUGGGGUGCUCGAGUGGCGAACGGGUGAGUAACACGUGAGUAACCUGCCCUUGACUUUGGGAUAACUUCAGGAAACUGGGGCUAAUACCGGAUAGGAGCUCCUGCUGCAUGGUGGGGGUUGGAAAGUUUCGGCGGUUGGGGAUGGACUCGCGGCUUAUCAGCUUGUUGGUGGGGUAGUGGCUUACCAAGGCUUUGACGGGUAGCCGGCCUGAGAGGGUGACCGGCCACAUUGGGACUGAGAUACGGCCCAGACUCCUACGGGAGGCAGCAGUGGGGAAUAUUGCACAAUGGGCGGAAGCCUGAUGCAGCAACGCCGCGUGCGGGAUGACGGCCUUCGGGUUGUAAACCGCUUUCGCCUGUGACGAAGCGUGAGUGACGGUAAUGGGUAAAGAAGCACCGGCUAACUACGUGCCAGCAGCCGCGGUGAUACGUAGGGUGCGAGCGUUGUCCGGAUUUAUUGGGCGUAAAGGGCUCGUAGGUGGUUGAUCGCGUCGGAAGUGUAAUCUUGGGGCUUAACCCUGAGCGUGCUUUCGAUACGGGUUGACUUGAGGAAGGUAGGGGAGAAUGGAAUUCCUGGUGGAGCGGUGGAAUGCGCAGAUAUCAGGAGGAACACCAGUGGCGAAGGCGGUUCUCUGGGCCUUUCCUGACGCUGAGGAGCGAAAGCGUGGGGAGCGAACAGGCUUAGAUACCCUGGUAGUCCACGCUGUAAACGGUGGGUACUAGGUGUGGGGUCCAUUCCACGGGUUCCGUGCCGUAGCUAACGCUUUAAGUACCCCGCCUGGGGAGUACGGCCGCAAGGCUAAAACUCAAAGGAAUUGACGGGGCCCCGCACAAGCGGCGGAGCAUGCGGAUUAAUUCGAUGCAACGCGUAGAACCUUACCUGGGUUUGACAUGGAUCGGGAGUGCUCAGAGAUGGGUGUGCCUCUUUUGGGGUCGGUUCACAGGUGGUGCAUGGCUGUCGUCAGCUCGUGUCGUGAGAUGUUGGGUUAAGUCCCGCAACGAGCGCAACCCUUGUUCACUGUUGCCAGCACGUUAUGGUGGGGACUCAGUGGAGACCGCCGGGGUCAACUCGGAGGAAGGUGGGGAUGACGUCAAGUCAUCAUGCCCCUUAUGUCCAGGGCUUCACGCAUGCUACAAUGGCUGGUACAGAGAGUGGCGAGCCUGUGAGGGUGAGCGAAUCUCGGAAAGCCGGUCUCAGUUCGGAUUGGGGUCUGCAACUCGACCUCAUGAAGUCGGAGUCGCUAGUAAUCGCAGAUCAGCAACGCUGCGGUGAAUACGUUCCCGGGGCU
rnacentral:rRNA from 1 species